CAUUUUCUAUUUCUCUUUCUGCUCUCGGUCUCUAUCUCUAACCUAACCAGCCUAUGGAAACAGAGAAAUUAGUAAAUCUUAGAUGCUAUUUAAACGAAAAUAAUAGACCCUUCUAUAGAUUCUUCUUCUGAAAUCCUUCAUCUCACUUUUCGAGUUGUACAUCUCAAAUUUGUUGGAACAGAUUCAACCUUAUUAUUUCUCCAUUCAUCCCAAAAUCGAAAAUAUAAAUAUCGUGUAUUAAAUUGGGCGUGAUAUGAGACAUGAUUUGAAGCAAGGGUGUUUGUUCCAACCGGUCAAGUUUUUCGUGUUUUAUUCACUAAAAGUAAAUCGAGCUCUCAGAUCUAUAAAUUAGCACCACGAACGCUUCGAUCACUUACCUCUUCAUCUAAAUGCUCAUCUCUUUCGAAUGAAGGCAAUAGAGGAGUCAAAUUGGUGGCGGAUUCUGAUAAUAUUGUUGAUGUUGCUCAUAAGGUUUCGAGGUGCUAACAAGAGAGGUUGGUGGAGUUGAUAGUGGUACUGUAACGGCAAGAGUAUCUCUAGAUGAAAUCAGGGUGGAGGUACGAACUAUGAAGUUUGAUGACUUGCGAUUUGUAAAGGAAAAUGUCUCCUACUGAAACCCAUAAAAUGCGCCGAUGUUGUGGAUAUUAAUAGCAAAUUGAGAAGAUGAGAAUUGUCUGUUUCUUUCCACUAUCAAAUCUUGGGUGGUAUUCCUGCUCCUUCAAACUUUGGAGAAGAUUUGAAACGUCGUGCUCAGGGGUGUGUUGUACUUGACAGACACAGGGACAAUAACAAAGGAAAGUGAGUGUUCAACUUCAAAACUCCUUUAUUUGGUUCGUAAGAAGUUACUCUUUAUAUCACUAUGUGUUGAAGACUUUGUUCUUGGGUUACUUUUUUGAUGAGAACGAAUUUGUACGAAAGUGGCAUUCGUGAGGGAUACCAAAGCUUAACAAAGAAGUUUGAGUUGGAAAUUGCAGGACGGGUCCUGGUUCAAGUUAAAGAAUCCCAAGCGUGUACUUUCUUAUAUUUCCUCGGUGUUGGACAAAAUAUCUAUGGAUUAGAUGGCUGAGGUUAAGGGACCUUCAAAUUUCAGUGUAGAGUCUUCCGAAGUGAUAAAGGAUAAGGCUAAGGUUAAGGGAGACUCAAUUCCAACAGGAGGCGAUAGUCAAGAUUUCUUUGUAACUGCUCGGACCAUGCGUUGUUUAUUCCUUCCAUGUUUGGUUAGCUUUGCAGGGAGUAUUUUGGCCCCAUGAUUCUGCAGGGAACCAGUUGCUGAGGUUCUACAAUGUUUGGCAGGCAUACAACUAAUUCACCGUCAAGAUGCAGCUAAAAAAACUUGUUGUGCCUGGACUUAUCUUAACGGACUCUUUACUAGGAUUAAUUAUGGAUACCAUCCAAAUUGAAAUCGUCAAAUUGUUUCGAUGCACAGGUACUCGAUUGUUACGUGUGGGAUCAGUUCAUCAUUUGAGAGGAAAGGCUGCUGGCACUGAAGGGGUAUAAGUAACCCAUGAGAUCUUGUAAUCUUCGGUUAGUUCUAAGAAAAAUUGCAGGGAAAGCAAGAUUGUGUGUAAUGCUGAGAAAGCUUUGGAACUCAUUUGUCAAUUGGCUGGAGGAGGCAGGAGAUGUUGCUGACCAUGGAGGUUAUUAUUGAAGCCCAUAAUCCAUCUCUCAUCAAAUGUAUUAUGCAUAUGAUUGUGGAGAGCCUCAAAUACAGGUUGCAAACAAGGUACACCAUUAUGAAGUAGGAACAAGUUCUUCAUCAUCAUCGGAGUUUAUAAUUUUGUUGUUUAAUCAAUAGUUUUUUAGUUCAUCGUUUCGUAACCAAAUCCAAGAACUUAGUUACCUUUAUUGUACGAUUACACUGGUCAGAACUACAGAUUUUAAUCCUUUUUGUGUAAUUUGAAACCAAUGAAUCAAUUAAUGUUAAAUUGAAUGAUUAUUUAUGUGCCA